AAAACUUCAAAACUGACUGUUUGCCAUUACCUGCUGAAGUGUGUCUUUUGUUUCUUUUCAAAGAGGAAGAAGAAUUUACAACAGACGAAACUAGGAACAAUGAAACCACGAGCCCUCAUAAACCGUCCCCUGGUGCAUCCUCUGACCCUGGCUGGGACAAUGGCUUGGAUGAUGCUUGCUUUUUAGAAGCCACUGAAGAUGCUGAAUUAGCAG